rnacentral:tRNA from 1 species
CUCCGGAUAGUCUAGUUGGUUUAUGGCGUCUGACUGUAAAUCAGAAUGUCGCGUGUUCGAAUCACGCUCUGGAGA